rnacentral:lncRNA from 1 species
AUAGAUAAUCUUCGAUCUGCAUCUCCAGAACCCUAAAUCUGCGCCCAUCGAACUUUCGAGUUUCAUCAGCACCGGUACUCGUCUGGCAGCCAUCCGCUCCGACGCCCACUCAAAUUACGUCCUUUGAUCGUUUUCUUCUUCUGUCCGACUGACAGAAUUCACGACCAAGAGGCUCUGUACCAGUUGUUGGGAAAUUACGAGAUUUUUUCCUAUAGUCAAUUAGUGGAAUGCAAAAAAUAGCGAAAGACACACACACAAAUUUGAUAACUGAGGUUCGGGCCAAUUGUGCCUUUCGUCUCCGGACCUCUGCAGAUCGUUUACUAAAGGGAGAAAAAAAAUACAAGUUGUGUACAACACUUACAACUCACAACCCCUCGAAGCUUUUCUCUUAACUCUUCUCUAACUAACUCUCUCAACAAUUUUUGAUGUCUUACAAAUAGGGCUAGGGUUUAUAAAGGCUUCAAAACCAUGGUUGGUGAAAUUGGUAAGAAAAAUUGCAAUGGUUAGGGGGGGCACCUCCAGUGACAAGUGCCUAAGUUAGGCACCUUACAUUUUGUGAAUCCCCAAAACUGGUUUGUUGGCCAAAUUUUUGACUAUGCCAAUUUUCUGACACUUGCCAGCUGUUUAACCAGGGCGGGGGCCAAUAAAUGCUCGAGACUUCUGGCCCUUCAAAGCGAAGACGAAGGAGGUUUUCGUCGUCGAAGAAGAGCUUGUAGAAACCAGAAGAGUAAUUGUUUUGGCUUCGAGAUGACACAAGCCUUGUGGCUCUAGUGAGUCGUUGGUUCGGAAGAAGAGUAUCUGUUGGGGAAUCAAAACUUUCCCAAAGAAUUACCCUCGUCCCCCGCCAAUGUAAACGAACAGGUUCCAGUGUCAACCAUAGCAUCGCAAUGGAGAUAUUUACACAUUGCGGAGCCCAAACCGUUUAUUUGAGCUCGCGUCGGUCAGACGAGAUUGCCAUUUUUUAGAGGGAGAGGCUUCGAGAGUCUUCCGUUAACGGGUUGGUCCCGAUUGGCCAUCCAGACUAUAGUGUGAUUCCCAUUGUAAAGUGGUUCCGCGAACCAUAUGGCGAAGCAAUAAGCAUUUUCGCCGACUGAGUAAAAGCCGGCGGAGAAUGCUUUGUUUGGUGAGACCAAAACGCGGUUGGGCUUCUCCACAGAGAGAGAUGCGCCUUUCGUUAAGCUAUUUGGUGGUGAAGGUGAAGAUGAAAAUGAAGAUGGUGGUAGUGAGAGGACCAGGGAAGUAACAAGAAUCAACCAUGGCGUACACAUUGAAGGCCUUGUUUAGUUGUUUUGCAUAUAUAUAGGGGCGGAGCCAGGAGAACAGUUCAGUGGGGUCAAAAUCAUAAAAUUAUGGGAUAAUAAUGUAAAUUUUUUUUUCAGUGAGGUCAAAAUAGUAUAUUUUUUUUUCUAUUGGAUGAAAUUGUAAUUUUUUUAAUGGAC